rnacentral:tRNA from 1 species
GUCUUUGUGGUGUAGUGGUCAGCACGCUGGGCGUAUUCCAGAGGCCCAUGGUUCGAGUCCCGGCGAGGGCA